AAACAAAAUAUAUAUUGAUCGCUGAUAACUGUAUCGUAAAAUAAGACAACAAAGUCAACAACAACAAAUCAACCAGCCACCUGCACUUUAAAUCAUUCAAAUAGUGAUUUGGUGUUGUUUGAAUAAGAAAACAAAAAAAAAAAAA